rnacentral:ribozyme from 12 species
AGGCAGGGACAUGCCCUUGGCCCAAAAGGGCGUUUGGGGGUUGAGGAGAUUGAGUUUCCAGAGAAGGAUGAUAUCAGCUUUGGUGAAGGGCCCGGCACGGCCAUUGACAU